GACGAAGGGGGCUAGCGUUGUUCGGAAUUACUGGGCGUAAAGGGCGCGUAGGCGGUCUGUUAAGUUAGGCGUGAAAGCCCUGGGCUCAACCUGGGAGGUGCGCUUGAUACUGGCAGGCUAGAGUGCAGGAGAGGAUGGUGGAAUUCCCAGUGUAGAGGUGAAAUUCGUAGAUAUUGGGAAGAACACCGGUGGCGAAGGCGGCCAUCUGGACUGCAACUGACGCUGAGGCGCGAAAGCGUGGGGAGCAAACAGG
rnacentral:rRNA from 1 species